rnacentral:rRNA from 1 species
GACGAACGCUGGCGGCGUGCUUAACACAUGCAAGUCGAACGGAAAGGCCCUGCUUUUGUGGGGUGCUCGAGUGGCGAACGGGUGAGUAACACGUGAGUAACCUGCCCUUGACUUUGGGAUAACUUCAGGAAACUGGGGCUAAUACCGGAUAGGAGCUCCUGCUGCAUGGUGGGGGUUGGAAAGUUUCGGCGGUUGGGGAUGGACUCGCGGCUUAUCAGCUUGUUGGUGGGGUAGUGGCUUACCAAGGCUUUGACGGGUAGCCGGCCUGAGAGGGUGACCGGCCACAUGGGGACUGAGAUCCGGCCCAGACUCCUACGGGAGGCAGCAGUGGGGAAUAUGGCACAAUGGGCGGAAGCCUGAUGAAGCAACGCCGCGUGCGGGAGGACGGCCUUCGGGUUGUAAACCGCUUUCGCCUGUGACGAAGCGUGAGUGACGGGAAUGGGUAAAGAAGCACCGGCUAACUACGG